UACGUAGGGGGCAAGCGUUGUCCGGAAUCAUUGGGCGUAAAGCGCGUGUAGGCGGCUAGGUAAGUCUGCUCUGAAAGCCCGGGGCUCAACCCCGGGAGGCGGGUGGAUACUGUCUAGCUCGAGUCCGGAAGAGGAGUGUGGAAUUCCUGGUGUAGCGGUGAAAUGCGUAGAUAUCGAGAGGAACACCUGCGGCGAAGGCGGGUUGCUGGGCUGACACUGACGCUGAUGCGCGAAAGCCAGGGGAGCGAACGGG
rnacentral:rRNA from 1 species